rnacentral:lncRNA from 1 species
UCCCCCAUGUUGCACAUAUCUUAUCUAUUAAACACAAAGGCAAUAACUCAAUGAAUGGUGAAUGUGUUCAUGUGACACAAAUAUCAUAUAAAGUUAUAAAGGGACAUAACUGAAGAACAUGUAAAUGUGAUGCUCCCCAAAUUUGUACUUGAUCAGAGUUUUGUGGUAAAAAGUAUGGUGUAUAAGUUUCAUACCAUUUUGCGAAGGCAAACUCAAGGUAGUGAACUAAAAGGAAAAACUCAGCAAUUUUUCCAUUUUUUUUAAAGGGAAAGAUAAAAGAUAUAUUACAAGAAGAUGUGGUAUGAGUGCAAAUGAGACAACUCUCACUCCAAGUCACAAUUUGAAAAAGAAAAAAACAUUAUUGGUCAAAGUAUGGGUUUCAACAUAGAGCCUUAGCUCCCACAGAACAGUAGGCUAUAAAGGGCCCCAAAAAUGACUAGUGUAAAACCAUUCAAAAGGGUAAAACAACAGUCUAAUUUAUGUAAAAAAAAUCAGAAAACAUUUUUAUUAAAAGUGACACCACCCAAAUUCAAUCUUGCUCUUUUUUUUGCGGUAAUAAGAAUUGUGUAUAAGUUUCAUUACUUUUGGUUGAGGCUAACUUAAGUUAGAAAACAGAAAACUGAAAAUUCAGCAGUUUUUCCAUUUGUAAAGGGGCAUAACUCUAAAACGAUUAAAAUGACGCCACCAAAAUUCAAUCUUGACACACGUUUUGUGCUAUUAAGCAUUUUGUAUAUGUUUUUAUAACAUUUGGUCAAGUUAUUCAAAACUAAAGUUAGAGAUUGG